ACGCUAGCUACAGGCUUAACACAUGCAAGUCGAGGGGUAGCAGGGUAGCAAUACCGCUGACGACCGGCGCACGGGUGAGUAACGCGUAUCCAACCUUCCGUACACUCAGGGAUAGCCUUUCGAAAGAAAGAUUAAUACCUGAUGGUAUGAUGAGAUUGCAUGAUAUCAUCAUUAAAGAUUUAUCGGUGUACGAUGGGGAUGCGUUCCAUUAGGUAGUAGGCGGGGUAACGGCCCACCUAGCCGACGAUGGAUAGGGGUUCUGAGAGGAAGGUCCCCCACAUUGGAACUGAGACACGGUCCAAACUCCUACGGGAGGCAGCAGUGAGGAAUAUUGGUCAAUGGACGAGAGUCUGAACCAGCCAAGUAGCGUGAAGGAUGAAGGUCCUACGGAUUGUAAACUUCUUUUAUAAGGGAAUAAAACCUCCCACGUGUGGGAGCUUGUAUGUACCUUAUGAAUAAGCAUCGGCUAACUCCGUGCCAGCAGCCGCGGUAAUACGGAGGAUGCGAGCGUUAUCCGGAUUUAUUGGGUUUAAAGGGAGCGCAGACGGGUCGUUAAGUCAGCUGUGAAAGUUUGGGGCUCAACCUUAAAAUUGCAGUUGAUACUGGCGUCCUUGAGUGCGGUUGAGGUGUGCGGAAUUCGUGGUGUAGCGGUGAAAUGCUUAGAUAUCACGAAGAACUCCGAUUG
rnacentral:rRNA from 1 species